GAGCCGUUUUCGAUGAUGGAGCGUCCGAAUCGACGAUCGGCUCCGUUAGAUUUGAUCUAGCGUAUUUAAGGUUUCUAGAAAAUAAUUUUUGCGAUUUUUUCAUAUCAUUUACCAAGCAAUCGAAAGAAUUCAAAAUCAAUAUUUUUUUACGGCUGAAAAUAAAAAUUCUAUAAAAAGUGAUGAUAUAACACUAAAAUUUUCGAUCAGAAAUAUUGAUCUUGUUAUAGAUAGUAUAAAGAAUUUUAUAUCAAAAUUUUAUUUGAUUUGAAUACUUCUUCACCGUUAAACUUGAAAACGUCAGAUGU
rnacentral:lncRNA from 1 species